rnacentral:tRNA from 1 species
GGCUAGUUGGCUCAGAGGCAGAGCGGCGGGGUCAUAAUCCGCAGGCCCGGUGUUCGGUUCCCCAGACUCGCCA